UACGAAGGGGGCUAGCGUUGUUCGGAAUUACUGGGCGUAAAGCGCACGUAGGCGGAUACUUAAGUCAGGGGUGAAAUCCCGGGGCUCAACCCCGGAACUGCCUUUGAUACUGGGUAUCUCGAGUCCGAGAGAGGUGAGUGGAAUUCCGAGUGUAGAGGUGAAAUGCGUAGAUAUUUGGAGGAACACCGGUGGCGAAGGCGGCAUCCUGGACCGGUAUUGACGCUGAGGCGCGAAAGCCAGGGGAGCAAACGGG
rnacentral:rRNA from 1 species